AUACCAGCACUAAUGCACCG
rnacentral:snRNA from 1 species